rnacentral:rRNA from 1 species
GAACGCUAGCUACAGGCUUAACACAUGCAAGUCGAGGGGCAGCAUGGUCUUAGCUUGCUAAGGCCGAUGGCGACCGGCGCACGGGUGAGUAACACGUAUCCAACCUGCCGUCUACUCUUGGACAGCCUUCUGAAAGGAAGAUUAAUACAAGAUGGCAUCAUGAGUCCGCAUGUUCACAUGAUUAAAGGUAUUCCGGUAGACGAUGGGGAUGCGUUCCAUUAGAUAGUAGGCGGGGUAACGGCCCACCUAGUCUUCGAUGGAUAGGGGUUCUGAGAGGAAGGUCCCCCACAUUGGAACUGAGACACGGUCCAAACUCCUACGGGAGGCAGCAGUGAGGAAUAUUGGUCAAUGGGCGAGAGCCUGAACCAGCCAAGUAGCGUGAAGGAUGACUGCCCUAUGGGUUGUAAACUUCUUUUAUAAAGGAAUAAAGUCGGGUAUGGAUACCCGUUUGCAUGUACUUUAUGAAUAAGGAUCGGCUAACUCCGUGCCAGCAGCCGCGGUAAUACGGAGGAUCCGAGCGUUAUCCGGAUUUAUUGGGUUUAAAGGGAGCGUAGAUGGAUGUUUAAGUCAGUUGUGAAAGUUUGCGGCUCAACCGUAAAAUUGCAGUUGAUACUGGAUAUCUUGAGUGCAGUUGAGGCAGGCGGAAUUCGUGGUGUAGCGGUGAAAUGCUUAGAUAUCACGAAGAACUCCGAUUGCGAAGGCAGCCUGCUAAGCU